AGGGUGACCUGCGGAAGGAUCAUUGUCGAGACCCGAAUAGGAAGACCGGUGCACGGUGAACGGAACCCCCGCGGUGGUUUUGCUGCCACGGGCCGCGGCCCACUGUAGCCAUCUGGCGUUGUGGAGUUUGCGAAUAAAAAACGGCGCUGCAUUGGUGCCAAGGCAUACAUGUCGAGCAGGGCGUUCGGACCGCAGCUGUGCUGGGUGUUCGUCGUCUUGACGGUAUAAUAUCUUGAAACGACUCUCGGCAAUGGAUAUCUCGGUUCUUGCAUCGAUGAAGAACGUAGCGAAAUGCGAUACGUGGUGUGAAUUGCAGAAUCCCGUGAACCAUCGAAUUUUUGAACGCAAGUUGCGCCCGAGGCCUUUUUGGCCUAGGGCACGCCUGCCUGGGCGUCAGUUGCCCCUCGGCGCUCCAUGCCAUGUGCGAUCUCUCACGGCUGGAUGCGGGCCUGGCCCUUCGAGUCCCUGAGCUCGGCGGGCCAAAGCGUUUGGCUUGCCCAUUGGGGCUGGCUGUGGCGAGUGGUGGAUCGAUCGCUCAGACGAGCCGUACGUCGCCCAGCUAGACCCCUCGGGUAUAUGGCCUUGUUGAAACCCCAGAAUAGCAGAUGCCGAAUGGCAUUGGCGAAACCAAGACCCCAGGUCAGGCGGGACUACCCG
rnacentral:rRNA from 1 species